rnacentral:piRNA from 1 species
UCCCAAGUUCAGAGGUUACAGACCUGUGC